rnacentral:rRNA from 1 species
UACGGGGGGGCAAGCGUUGUUCGGAAUUACUGGGCGUAAAGGGCGCGUAGGCGGCCUGCUAAGUCGGACGUGAAAUCCCUCGGCUCAACCGGGGAACUGCGUCCGAUACUGGUGGGCUCGAAUCCGGGAGAGGGAUGUGGAAUUCCAGGUGUAGCGGUGAAAUGCGUAGAUAUCUGGAGGAACACCGGUGGUGUAGACGGCCUACUGGACCAUAACUGACGCUGAGACACGAAAGCGUGGGUAGCAAACAGG